rnacentral:rRNA from 1 species
UACAGAGGUCCCCAAGCGUUGUUCGGAUUCACUGGGCGUAAAGGGUGCGUAGGCGGUCGGGUAAGUCUGACGUGAAAUCUUCAAGCUCAACUUGGGAACUGCAUCCGAUACUGGCUGGCUAGAGUGUGGUAGAGGGAAGUGGAAUUCCAGGUGUAGCGGUGAAAUGCGUAGAUAUCUGGGGGAACAUCAGUGGCGAAGGCGGCUUCCUGGACCAACACUGACGCUGAGGCGCGAAAGCGUGGGGAGCAAACAGGAUUAGAUA